UCCCCUGAAUUCAUUUGCUGUGGCAAAUAUGGCUUCCUUAAAAUCUGCUGUUUAUGAAAAUACAGGACACAACAAAAAGACAGCUGUCUGCAAGUCAUGAAGACAGCCAUUACCAGGAACCAAACUGAAUGGUACCUUGAUCUUGUGCUUUUCGGUCUCGAGAGCUGUGAGAAACAAAUGCCUGCUGUUCAAAUUGUCCAGCCUAUGGUAUUUUGUUACGGCAGUCUGAGCUGACCAAGAUAACCGGAAACCUAGAAAAAAAACUGAGAGACUAGAUAACACAUGCUCCAGAAAAAAAAGUACUUGAUCCAGAAAAAGAACACCUAUGAAUAUUUAUGAAGAGCAUAAUUUUACAGAGGAACACCCAAGUAAUGGUCACAGGAAUUGAAGAGCUUGCAAGGGUCAAGCGCUAAUCAGUGAUGGAACUUGGUUUUAAACUCCAUUAUUUCCUGCAGCAGAGUCUACAUCCUCAAAUGUUUCACCAUGCCAUCUACAGUCUGAUGUGCUUUCCAGAUUUCUCACCAUUCCACUUGAUCUCCUUUAAAUGACUUUGAUUUGAGAGUGUGCAUCUUCAAAUAUAGUGCUCAGAACUGGAUGCAAUGCUCACAAUAUCAUGUGACCAGCACUAAGUCGAUACAAGUUUAUUCCUUUGAAUUUGUCCUGGCGUUUGACAAGGAUAUUGUGGAUAUUAAAGAUAUUUAUUUCACA
rnacentral:lncRNA from 1 species